GGACGUAGUGAACAGGAUAAAAAACAUUUCCUCUGGUUCAAAGCCUUUUCCUCCUUCUCUUACUUUUCCACAGAAAACUUGUCAGAAUCAGGAUUUGGUUGACAGCACUGGGGGCCAAAUAAAAAGGACAGAAUUGUGAAGGUUUCUUAUCAACAUGGUUAUCACCAUAUAUCAAUUAUACUGUUACAUUUCUGUUCUGGAUUUUGAUUCAUUUCCUGGCCAGCUGCGAUGAACAACCAAAUAAUAUUCUCAGGAAAAGGGUUCCAAUGGGCCAGGUUUCCUGCCAGCAUGACAACAAUAUCCAUGCUGGCUCAUGGCAGCUUGAUGGGGCAUCGGGGAGAGCACCACUCGAAUGGGCCGCCCACGACCUCAGCAUGAGUGAGUAAUUGUAAAGGCUCCCCACCAUGUGUGUUAAUACUUAGAAACACAGAACUGAAUGUCAACACUUUGCCUCUCCCGAGAGUGCUCAGAUCUGAGCACGGAGGCCGAGAGUAACACCACACCAACCUGGAGUUGAGAAAGGAAAGUAUAUGUUAUCUGUUUUAAAUCACUUGUCAAAAAUGAGUUUUUCUUGAGCUCUCUUCUUUGGGGAGAAAAAAAAUACAGAAGAGUCUUUGGCAUCAACUGCCUUGCCUUGGCGCUGGGUAGCAGCUAUGAACACUGACACUGGACACCCAUACCAGAAUGGCGCACACACUCAUCAUUGCUCAAAAACAAGGCAUUUACAGAUCAAAG
rnacentral:lncRNA from 1 species